UGGGGAAUCUUGCACAAUGGGCGCAAGCCUGAUGCAGCCAUGCCGCGUGUAUGAAGAAGGCCUUCGGGUUGUAAAGUACUUUCAGUCGGGAGGAAGGUGGUAAGGUUAAUAACCUUAUCAAUUGACGUUACCGACAGAAGAAGCACCGGCUAACUCCGUGCCAGCAGCCGCGGUAAUACGGAGGGUGCAAGCGUUAAUCGGAAUUACUGGGCGUAAAGCGCACGCAGGCGGUUGAUUGAGUCAGAUGUGAAAUCCCCGGGCUUAACCCGGGAAUUGCAUCUGAUACUGGUCAGCUAGAGUCUUGUAGAGGGGGGUAGAAUUCCAUGUGUAGCGGUGAAAUGCGUAGAGAUGUGGAGGAAUACCGGUGGCGAAGGCGGCCCCCUGGACAAAGACUGACGCUCAGGUGCGAAAGCGUGGGGAGCAAACAGG
rnacentral:rRNA from 1 species